GGAUAUGAUGAUAUUGAUUGUCGCCCCAGUCUUAAUCUGCACUAAAGGUGUAAGGUGGUGAUAGACAUUUUAAUCUGAUCC